UACGUAGGGCGCAAGCGUUAUCCGGAAUUAUUGGGCGUAAAGAGCUCGUAGGCGGUUUGUCGCGUCUGCCGUGAAAGUCCGGGGCUCAACUCCGGAUCUGCGGUGGGUACGGGCAGACUAGAGUGCGGUAGGGGAGACUGGAAUUCCUGGUGUAGCGGUGAAAUGCGCAGAUAUCAGGAGGAACACCGGUGGCGAAGGCGGGUCUCUGGGCCGUAACUGACGCUGAGGCACGAAGGCCAGGGGAGCAAACGGG
rnacentral:rRNA from 1 species